CCUCCCGCGGUCCCUCGAGAAGAAGCACCCGGUCCACACGCAUGCCGGUCGGCUCACACAUCUGGUUCAUCCCGCAGGCAAUGAACAAGUUGGAGACCAAGGAGAAGGUGCAGUGGAGCAGGAGUUGAAACUUCUCCCAUCUUUGGGGACACAUGACCUGAAUAAAGGCCACACCUCUUUUAUCUAUCCCAGGUAAAACAUCUGAAGCAGCACUGCAAACACUGCCAAUAAAAGUGAGUCAUGUUAUCUUAACUGAACUGAAUAUAGCUGUUUCAGCUAAUCUGUCUCAUCCUAGGUUUAGGUAUUUUUUAAUUGUAUAUUAUGAAAGAUUUGUAUUUGUAUUAAAUUACAUUUUCCACUUAAGUAUCAUUAAAAUUAAUGUGUAUCUGUGAAACUACUUGUUACCUGAUAU